rnacentral:lncRNA from 1 species
AUGCUGCGAAGCAAAUGGCCCGGCAGCACUAGGAAGGGGAAUGGCUGCGCCACCCUGCGCGCGAGAGAGGGCAGCAAAAAGCCCGGCUGCAAACCUUGGGCCCGGAGCUGGCUUCCAGGCAUCCCAAAGUCCCUGGGGGAUCGGAUCAAGGGUCCUGGCUCAUUCCUUGCAGGGAGCAGGGCUGGCUGCAAAUCUGGGGCAGGGUUGGUUUGGGUGCCGGGGCGCCCCGGGAGAGUCACUCCUCCAAGCACAGGCAGGAAUUCCCGGGGCUGUAGCGAGCCACAUCCCCGAGGAAGCCUGCCUGGCUGCAAGGGGAGCCUGCUUAGCUCACAGAUGCUACUGAUCUUCGGGAGCGCUAUCAUGGGGGCGUCCGAGCGAGCCCUCCCGGGCAGCGGGCUGGCACAGGGGAGCAGCAAAGUGCUGCUCACGUUGCACUGCAACAACCCGGCUGGUCCUGGCAGGAUUCCUCGCCCAGGCAACGCACCUGCCAGCGCGUCUGCUCGCUGGCGCUGCGCUGCGCUGCUGCUGCAAGCACAGGAUCUCAGCCGGUGGGUGCAGGGAGGGAGCUGCGUCUCCUGCCCGGCCCGGCAAAGCGCUCCCGGACAUGCCCGCCUGUCGGGAAUGCCACCGGAGAAAACGGCCCUGGCUGAAACCCCGGCUCACACGGGGCCAAGGCCUACGCUUCGCCGGACGCAGCCGCAGGAUCUGGCCCUAAGGGGCCGCCCGGAUGGAAACAGGCGCACCAGGCGAAGGAGUGGGGACGGCUCCGGGACGUUCCCUGGCUGUCAUCGCCGCGCGGCGCCCUGCCCAGCCAGCCAGCAGGCUGGAGUCCUCGGUGCCAUCUUACAGCUUCUGUUCUGCGCCGGAUUUCCCUGGAGCCUCAGCCUCGUUAAUUAUGCAAAUGAAAAGGUGUUGCAGACACGCCAUCCCCAGGCAGGACCCCGGUGGCAGAAGUUCUGCUCCGAACCUUUUGUCCGCGCCCCUUUCAUUUCGGCGAGAGAGGGUCCGGGAGCAGCAUCCGCCAGGAUGGAUGUUUGCAAUAAUUAUCCAGUCAUCCCCUUCAAGUGUACCGCAGCCAUAGCAACAGACAGAUGUUCUGUCCCAGCCAGAGUCCACAGCGAGCUGGGGAGAGAAGCACAAAAAAUUAACCCCUUCCGGCCUGACACGGCGAGGAAUCCAUUUUGCUCCAGGCUUGGGGGUGCUGCAAUGGCUCCUGGCGGACCCCAGGAAAGAGCAUGCAACGGAAGGCAAAAAAGAAAGGGCCCCUUUCCAUCCCAUCAGGUGACUUCAUCCGAAGUCGGCACGGAGGAGAGGAUGCUCCACGGCAUCCUCCAGCGGUACAGGGGCAAGGUGAGGCAGGCGCUGGCACCCGUCGGUCGGCAAGGGCUGAGCAUCUCACCGGGCGGUGCCUGGCCCCUUGCCCCCAGGGGUGCUGAGCGUACCUCCAGCGCGCUGCGGGGGCCUGGCUGGAGCCAUCCCGGGAUGGCUACGAGUCACAGGCGACCGUUUCCAUCCUCUGCAGUCGGGAGCUAUGGAGCAGUCGCAAAGGGCAUGGGCCUGUGCCUCCAAAGCACCGUGGCAUUCAAGCCCGCCUUGAGGAGCAUCAGCUACCGGGGCGGGCUGCCGUGUUUCAGGAGCCUAGAUCAGAGAAGGAUCAGGGCCUUCCUGCCCCCCACAACACCACCCAUCGCAUCCAUUUUAAACUCCAUUUCCACCAAAGGCGCCUCCGAACAAGCAGCCUUCUCUGGUCGCAAGCUCCACGAUGCCCAGGGCCAGCCUUGCUGGCUGACAAUUCGGCGAGGCAGAAAGUUCAAGUCUGCGUAG